rnacentral:misc_RNA from 1 species
UCAUUGAUAAACAUGUCUCACCCAUAGAGUACCAUACAUUAAAAUCACAUUAUGUUUGUUUUAAAUUUUAAUACACUUUAAAUUAUUGUAGCUCAUAAAUAAUUGCAUGAAUUAUUAGAUAGGGUGUUGACGAAUAGAAUUUGACUUAUGAUGCUUACUUCAGAAUAAUAAUAGGUUAUAUCGGAAUGCAAUGUUCAAAUCGUAAGUACACCAUACAACACAAAAAUUUCUUUGUCAGAUACGGGACGUAAAAUUACUGCUGAAAAUGAAUUUGGCAAGGACGAAGCUACUGUUCAAGUGACCGUUUUGUGUUGGUCCUCCAAUAAGACCUCAAGUUCCUCUUAAAGUGAAAGAUGUUAAAAGCCGUGGGGCUUAAGUCAAAUGGGACAAACCAACGGAUGAAAAAUAUUUUGAACUAAACAUCGACAUCAUAUUAUAUGUAAAACCACUGAUAUGUUCCUUUGCCAAUAAACCAUUGAUAAAUGGAUGUUCAAUGAAAAUGGAAAAUGAAGAUUAUAAUACAAAACUAAAUUUAUCUGAAAAUACUAGAAAUAAUACAGAAGUCUAUAGUUGACGAGCAAAAAAUGCUUCAGGUUUUGAUAAAACUACUGUAGAAGUCAUUAUUUUAGAUAAACCUAGACCCCCAGUUGGGCCACUUGAAGUCACAGACGUACAUAAAGAAGAAUGUACACUACACUGGAACAAACCUAAAGAUGAUGGUGGAUUGCCCAAUACUGGGUAUUUAGUUGAGAAAAUGGAUACCACAACUAGAAAAUGAGUACCUGCAGGUUUCGUUGAUCCAACAAAAUUAGAACACAAAAUAAACGGUCUGGAACCGAAUAGAAAGUAUCAUUUCACAAUGAAAGCAUUAAACAUGAAGGAGAAUUCACACCGUUAGAUUCUGAUGCUACGAUAAUUGCUAAAAAUCCUUAUGACACUUUAUUACCUGCAAAGUGGAUGAUACAAGUUAAUAUAAAAAAUGUUGCUAUUCAUCAUUAUCUUGGUUUUUCUAUCGGAUACGCGUGGUCCUCUGGGAUUACUUGAAGUUAUUGACUAUGACGAAAAUAUGGUAGAAUUAAAAUGGGAUGCAUCAUGGCGAAUCUCCAAUAAUAGUCCAACGUGUGUUAAGGAAUUGUUCCUGAUAACUGAAGGUCAUCAGUAUGAGUUUAGGGUGCGCGCAGUAAAUAAAGCUGGACCUGGUGAAGCGAGUGAAACAACAUUACUUCAUCUUGCUAUGCUCAAAAAUUUGGCUCCACAUAUCGAUAGGAACACUCUCUCGAAGAUUAAAGUUUGAGCCGGAAACAUGUUUGAAUUUGAUCUUGUGUCCGGAGAACCUCCUCCAACUAAAUAAUGGCUUAGAGGAAACGUGCUAGUAAAAACUGAAAACAUUAAUUUAUUACUUGGUAGCAAUAAUGGAAUGGACAAAGCUGCAGUCAAAGUUACAGUUAUA